GCGAAUGAACACAAACCUGAUCAUAAUGACAAUUGCUGCACGCUUUGUGCAGUGAAUUGUUUACUUUUGGUAUAAUGCUAUCAAAGCUGCAUUUAAAUGAUUUUUGAAAGGAUACAACAUGGGAUGCGAUGUUCAUGUAUGUGUGCCUGCUUUGUCCACAGCAUGUGCUGAAUGAAUCACAUUUCUUGCAAACUGAAAUGCAAAUGGCAUGGUAAAGUUCAUGUGACAUGACACAUGCUUGAGAUUCAUGAUGUGCAAGUACCAUGAGGGAAAUGUGAAAAAGGACUGUGGAAAGAGAAUUAAAUAAAGCCUGCGAUUGCUGGACAUGAAAGCAAGUGUAGACAUUCAUUGAAGUGUUACUGCAUCUCUACACCACCUUUAUGGUUACUGUAUGCUUUACAUUACAACACAAAUAAUGAAGUGUGUGUGUGUGUGUGUCUACUUUGCUUCAAUUGUUUCCACCUGGGAUCACUUGAAACAUUGUCUGAGCACUCUUCAGUACCACUAUGUGUACACCAGUAUAUUCCACUCCUUGUUGGCACACAUGUGAUGAUGAUGUGUUUAUGUGCCAUACUUCUGUGCUCACGAAACAUGUUGUGCACAUCUUCACUUGACCCGUCUUGAAACACGGACCAAGGAAUCU
rnacentral:rRNA from 1 species